rnacentral:rRNA from 1 species
ACGAACGCUGGCGGCAUGCCUAACACAUGCAAGUCGCACGAGGCCUUCGGGUCUAGUGGCGCACGGGUGCGUAACGCGUGGGAACCUGCCCUUAGGUUCGGAAUAACUCCCCGAAAGGGGUGCUAAUACCGGAUAAUGUCUUCGGACCAAAGAUUUAUCGCCUUUGGAUGGGCCCGCGUUGGAUUAGCUAGUUGGUAGGGUAAAAGCCUACCAAGGCGACGAUCCAUAGCUGGUCUGAGAGGAUGAUCAGCCACACUGGGACUGAGACACGGCCCAGACUCCUACGGGAGGCAGCAGUGGGGAAUAUUGGACAAUGGGCGAAAGCCUGAUCCAGCAAUGCCGCGUGAGUGAUGAAGGCCUUAGGGUUGUAAAGCUCUUUUACCCGGGAUGAUAAUGACAGUACCGGGAGAAUAAGCUCCGGCUAACUCCGUG